rnacentral:lncRNA from 1 species
GCCUCCACUAGAGCCUAUCCCUUCUCCAAAGCCACUGCCACCACUAGAGCCUAUUCCUUCUCCGAAGCCGCUGCCUCCACUGCCAUAACCAACGCCAUAGCCAUAUCCCAUAGGCUUAACUGUGUGAUCAGGCUUCUCUAUGCCAUCAAUCUUCUCUUUGUCUUUAAGCUUCUCUUUGUAAUCAGGCUUUACUUCAUGAUCAGGCUUCUCUAUGUCAUCAAUCUUCUCUUUGCCACCAUCAUUAAGCCUCUCUUUGUAAUUAGGCUUUACUAUAUGAUCAGGCUUCUCUAUGCCAUCAAUCUUCUCUUUGCCACCAUCAUUAAACCUCUCUUUGUAAUUGGGCUUUACUAUAUGAUCAGGCUUCUCUAUGUCAUCAAUGUUCUCUUUGUCACCAUCAUUAAGCUUCUCUUUGUAAUCAGGCUUUACUUUAUGAUCAGGCUUCUCUAUGCCAUCAAUCUUCUCUUUGCCACCAUCAUUAAACCUCUCUUUGUAAUUGGGCUUUACUAUAUGAUCAGGCUUCUCUAUGUCAUCAAUNN